rnacentral:pre_miRNA from 1 species
UAGAAUAUGUUGGCUGGCCCAAAGGCAGGUGGAAACUAGAAUACAUGUAUUCUAGUUUCCACCUGCCUUUGGGCCAGCCAAUGU